rnacentral:rRNA from 1 species
UACGGAGGGUGCGAGCGUUAAUCGGAAUUACUGGGCGUAAAGGGUGCGUAGGUGGUUGUGUAAGUUAUCUGUGAAAGCCCUGGGCUCAACCUGGGAAUGCCAGAUAGUACUGCACGACUUGAGUAUUGGAGAGGGUAGUGGAAUUUCCGGUGUAGCGGUGAAAUGCGUAGAGAUCGGAAGGAACACCAGUGGCGAAGGCGGCUACCUGGCCAAAUACUGACACUGAGGCACGAAAGCGUGGGGAGCAAACAGG